GCUCCUCUGACGUUAGCGGCGGACGGGUGAGUAACACGUGGAUAACCUACCUAUAAGACUGGGAUAACUUCGGGAAACCGGAGCUAAUACCGGAUAAUAUAUUGAACCGCAUGGUUCAAUAGUGAAAGACGGUUUUGCUGUCACUUAUAGAUGGAUCCGCGCCGCAUUAGCUAGUUGGUAAGGUAACGGCUUACCAAGGCAACGAUGCGUAGCCGACCUGAGAGGGUGAUCGGCCACACUGGAACUGAGACACGGUCCAGACUCCUACGGGAGGCAGCAGUAGGGAAUCUUCCGCAAUGGGCGAAAGCCUGACGGAGCAACGCCGCGUGAGUGAUGAAGGUCUUCGGAUCGUAAAACUCUGUUAUUAGGGAAGAACAAAUGUGUAAGUAACUAUGCACGUCUUGACGG
rnacentral:rRNA from 1 species